rnacentral:tRNA from 1 species
GAUGUAGCUAAGUGGUAGAGCACUUGCAUAGCAUGCAUAAGGCCCUGGGUUCGAUCCCCAACACCCCA